rnacentral:rRNA from 1 species
AUUGAACGCUGGCGGCAAGCCUAACACAUGCAAGUCGAACGAGUGGCGGACGGGUGAGUAAUGUCUGGGAAACUGCCUGAUGGAGGGGGAUAACUACUGGAAACGGUAGCUAAUACCGCAUACCAUCGGAUGUUCCCAGAUGGGAUUAGCUUGUAGGUGGGGUAAAGGCUCACCUAGGCGACGAUCCCUAGCUGGUCUGAGAGGAUGACCAGCCACGAUGGAACUGAGACACGGUCCAGACUCCUACGAGAGGCAGCAGUGAGGAAUGUUGCAAAAUGGGCGCAAGCCUAAUACAGCCAUGCCGCGUGUAUGAAGAAGGCCUUCGGGUUGUAAAGUACUUUCAGCGGGGAGGCGUUACCCGCAGAGGAAGCACCGGCUAACUCCGUGCCAGCAGCCGCGGUAAUUC